GACGAACGCUGGCGGCGUGCUUAACACAUGCAAGUCGAACGGAAAGGCCUUUUCGGAGGUACUCGAGUGGCGAACGGGUGAGUAACACGUGGGUGAUCUGCCCUGCACUCUGGGAUAAGCCUGGGAAACUGGGUCUAAUACCGGAUAGGACCGCACUUUAGUGUGUGUGGUGGAAAGUUUUUUCGGUGUAGGAUGAGCCCGCGGCCUAUCCGCUUGUUGGUGGGGUAAUGGCCUACCAAGGCGGCGACGGGUAGCCGGACUGAGAGGUUGGUCGGCCACAUUGGGACUGAGAUACGGCCCAGACGCCUACGGGAGGCAGCAGUGGGGAAUAUUGCACAAUGGGCGCAAGCCUGAUGCAGCGACGCCGCGUGGGGGAUGACGGCCUUCGGGUUGUAAACUCCUUUCGCCAGGGACGAAGCGUUUUGUGACGGUACCUGGAGAAGAAGCACCGGCUAACUACGUG
rnacentral:rRNA from 1 species